rnacentral:lncRNA from 1 species
GCAUCUCAUCUGAGCAUGACACCCACACAUUAUGCCUGCACGUUACGCCCGCACAUCUAGCUACCAAAUGGAAUCUUAUAGACAUGAGAUGAGGGAUUUAAGUGCCUGUAACAGCAUAUAACUUGAAAGCACACGCAAACAUAUGUGCAUGCUUAUGCAUGUACUUGUAGAUGGUAAAGAGUUUACUUAACAAGAGAGAACUGCAU